rnacentral:rRNA from 1 species
AGUGAACGCUGGCGGUAGGCCUAACACAUGCAAGUCGAACGGCAGCACAGUAAGAGCUUGCUCUUACGGGUGGCGAGUGGCGGACGGGUGAGGAAUACAUCGGAAUCUACUUUUUCGUGGGGGAUAACGCAGGGAAACUUACGCUAAUACCGCAUACGACCUACGGGUGAAAGCAGGGGAUCUUCGGACCUUGCGCGAUUGAAUGAGCCGAUGUCGGAUUAGCUAGUUGGCGGGGUAAAGGCCCACCAAGGCGACGAUCCGUAGCUGGUCUGAGAGGAUGAUCAGCCACACUGGAACUGAGACACGGUCCAGACUCCUACGGGAGGCGGCAGUGGGGAAUAUUGGACAAUGGGCGCAAGCCUGAUCCAGCCAUACCGCGUGGGUGAAGAAGGCCUUCGGGUUGUAAAGCCCUUUUGUUGGGAAAGAAAAGCAGCAGGUUAAUACCCCGCUGUUCUGACGGUACCCAAAGAAUAAGCACCGGCUAACUUCGUG